rnacentral:lncRNA from 1 species
AGGUCUUGAUUUUGCAUGUAAUGUGUUGUUACUAGGUUCUGGUAAUUCAGAAUUAGCUUUGAUAGUGUGACUAUAGAAUGGUAAAGUUCCAUUGGCAUUGGAUUGUUGUGGAUCAUUUCAUUGCUGGUGGUAUCCAACUUGUUGUCCAAGUAUUUUGGGAGUGAGGUAGGUUUUCUUCUAAUGUUGGGAAAGUCAGAGGGUCCCAAUUUUGUGUUUGGUAAUCAUUCUGCAUGUCUGGGACAGUCUGGGUGUUUUA